rnacentral:tRNA from 1 species
UAGAUUAAAGCCCGUUGGCUUGGGUUUUUAGUUGUUAACUAAAGNUUUACGGGAUCAAGGCCNGUCGAUUUAG